AGCUGCACCUCAGUCCUUGCAGGAAUUAGCCAAAACCACAGACCAAGGUGACCUUUGGAAACUGAAAUUUCCUUAGACCACAAUAGAACUGAUCCUGCCUGUUUUGCAGCUGUUCCUUGUUGUACAAGCUGACUAGAAGCUGAAGAAUAAACAUGAGGAAGAAAAGAAUAAUAGUACUAUCUUAACCUGCUCUUUUGAUUUUCCAAGCUCGGCGCAUCAUUUCCGCCUGCUUACGUCAUUGCCACCUGCAGCUGGCAUCCUAACUAUAACUGGCAUAACCAUAAACAUGAACGGGAGGUGGGGAGGAAGGACCCUGCCUCCUCCUACAGCGCGCCAUCUUCAGGCAGAUGCCCAGUUUAUCUCACUUAAAUCAACUGUUUCUGACUGGACCAAUUCCUGGAUGAGUUAAUUGAGCAUGGCUAAACCCAAAAUGCUGGACUAAUCCAAGGAAAUAGGAAGAGGUGGUGACUGUGAAGAUUCUCAGCUUUCAGUAAAGGUGUUUAAUUGUUUACUUAUAUUCUCACAACAGAAGGAAUGUAACAAACUCAGCCCACUGGAAAUAAUUCUGGAUAAUCUCAUUCCAUUACUUUCAGUGAAAUUGAGUCUGCUCACUCUACCCUUGUGAACCAACAUCUCAGGGAAACAUGAAGGUAAUAGCUCCUUCAGGCAGUACAAAAUAAGUGACAGAAGGAAAGGCAGACUGAAAUCUGUGUGUCUUUAGUUUUUAAUUCAUAUUAAUAGUUCACCAUAAAGGUAUUAGCUUCUCAAUAGCUACACUGAGCACAGGAAAUCAGUGUAAUGCAGU